GCAUGAGUACAAGCUAAUGGUCCUUGGUUCAGGAGGUGUUAGGAAGUCUACUCUGACAAUUUAGUUUAUUCAGGGAAUUUUUGUUGAAAAAUAUGAUCCAAUGAUAGAAGAUUCCUGCCAAAAGCAAAUUGAAGAAGAUUGCCAAUAGCGCAUGCUCAAAAUCUUGGAUAUAGCAGGGACAGAGCAACUUACAGCAAUGAGGGAUUUGUGUAUGAAGAAUAGCCAAGGUGUAUUCUAUAACAGCUCAGUCCAUGUUUAAUGACUUACAGGACCUGAAGGAACAGAUUUUAUAGGUUAAGGACACAGAAGAUGUUUCAAUGAUUUUGUUGGGAAUAAAUGUGACCUGGAGAUGAGUGAGUAGUUGGCAAAGAACAGGCAGACAGUGGUAUAACUCUACCACGCCCGGCUCAAAGUUAAACUUUAAUGAGCUAUUUUGUGACCUGGUCACAGAUAAAUAGAAAAACACCAGUGGAAAAGAAGAAACUUAAAAAGAAAUCAUGUUUGCUGCUC
rnacentral:lncRNA from 1 species